GUAAAUUUGUAAAAAUCUGGUCAAGGAUGUUAUUGCCUCUAGUAGGGAAGUUUAUAAUAGGUUUUAGAUGGAAGAGCUUUGCUGGGGAUUUAAAACAAAGUUUGUUAAAAUCACCACCUAGGAUUAUAGCGCUGUUCGGGUAAUUUGAUUCGAUAAAUUCUAAUGAGUUUUUAAGAUAUUCUUUCAUUGAGAUAUUGUUGGCAUCAGGAGGAUGAUAGACAACUGCAGCUAUGAUAUGUGAGAAUCCUCGAGGCAGGCGUUUUGGUCGCAAAAGGCACCAUAAAACGUCGUUGUAAAGAUCAGUUAAGAUCUUACUUUCAAUACUGUUUUUUACGUACAGACAAACUCCCCCGUGGAGUCUAUUUGCACGAUCUCUUCGAAACAAUUGAUACCCCUUUAUGUUAAUUGGA